rnacentral:rRNA from 1 species
AUUGAACGCUGGCGGCAGGCUUAACACAUGCAAGUCGAGCGGAAACGAGAAUAGCUUGCUAUUCGGCGUCGAGCGGCGGACGGGUGAGUAAUGCUUGGGAAUAUGCCUUAUGGUGGGGGACAACAGUUGGAAACGACUGCUAAUACCGCAUAACGUCUACGGACCAAAGGGGGGGAUCUUCGGACCUCUCGCCAUUUGAUUAGCCCAAGUGAGAUUAGCUAGUUGGUAAGGUAAAGGCUUACCAAGGCGACGAUCUCUAGCUGGUUUGAGAGGAUGAUCAGCCACACUGGGACUGAGACACGGCCCAGACUCCUACGGGAGGCAGCAGUGGGGAAUAUUGCACAAUGGGCGAAAGCCUGAUGCAGCCAUGCCGCGUGUGUGAAGAAGGCCUUCGGGUUGUAAAGCACUUUCAGUUGUGAGGAAAGGGUUGUAGUUAAUAACUGCAAUCUGUGACGUUAGCAACAGAAGAAGCACCGGCUAACUCCGUGCCAGCAGCCGCG